rnacentral:rRNA from 1 species
UACGGGGGGAGCAAGCGUUGUUCGGAUUUACUGGGCGUAAAGGGCGCGUAGGCGGUCGUGACAAGUCACUUGUGAAAUCUCCGGGCUUAACUCGGAACGGUCAAGUGAUACUGUCGGACUAGAGUACAGAAGGGGCAACUGGAAUUCUCGGUGUAGCGGUGAAAUGCGUAGAUAUCGAGAGGAACACCUGCGGCGAAGGCGGGUUGCUGGGCUGAUACUGACGCUGAGGCGCGAA